UAUAAAAUAUAUAAAAGUUGUUCCAAAUUUUUUCAUCCUGCAAUUUGGUGAACAGCUAAGCUAUGUCUUAGAAAAAUUUAAGGUAUUUAGGUAAAAAAAAAAAAGGAAGCUUAUGGAGACUCUGUGAGAGAAGAAGCUUCAGGACUUUAGGGAGAAAAGAAGAAACACUUUACAAUCCAAAGCUUCUGAACCAUACAAUCUGAAAAAAAUUGAAAAGAGAGAAAGGGGAAGGAGAAAGAGAAAGAGAAGAAGGUAGCGAGAAUAUGUCUGGAUAAAUCAUUUGCCUCUCCUUCAUGCUGCCUCUAAAGGGUUUUUAUAAUUUGAAUUUCUCUAUUGGUUUGGAAGAUCUUGAAAUUCUAUGGCUAGGGUUUAUAGAAACUGGGAGAGGCUGGUGCGAGCUACCUCGGACAGAGUGCAGCUUAGAAUUGCUGGUCAAAGCCAGAAUCGUAGGUGCAGUCCCACUUCCACCCUCAUUUGGUUGCGCGACUAAUAUCGACGACAUCCUUCAGGCGGCCAAUGAGAUUCAAUCGGAAGACCCCCAAAUUGCUAGGAUACUUUGCUCUGCAGAUAGGACCAAGAUAUGUUCAUCAGUUUGACUUCUGUGACCGUCACUCAUUUCAAAGUAAGUUUCUACAAAAAAUACGAUGAGGGGGUGAAGCAGUUUCUGACUCAAUAUUGCAUCAAGAGGAAACAAGAGGGAUAUAUGGUGAUUAAGGAUCUAUGCUCAACUUUCUAUGAAGCCCUAUGGGUAGGGCUUGAUGGGGAUGCAAAUCUGUCUGAAGGUGACUACAUGGAGAAAACAUUGGCACCAGAUCCAGGUAUUUUCUAACAAUGAACAUGUGAAUUUUGGAGUAGUUUUUGACACCCUGUUUUCUCAUUGCAGACUUAAUUUUGAGCCAAAUCAUUUGCUAAAUACAAUGACUUGUACAAAAGAAAAAGCAGGGUUGAUUUUCCCUUUUUUCAUAUCGCUGGUUUAUCACAUAGUAACGGUAUGAUGGAAUUUGUCUAAAUUUUUGCAAGGGACAUUCAAAUGGAGGAAAUUGUAAACAACAGUAAUAACUAAGAGAAGCUUCCUCUAUCCCUAGCGGCACAGAUUGUAUCAAUUGCCUUUUCUUAAAUCUGCAAACGGCAAUAACAAAGCAAAGUCUCCAUGCUGCCUGCUAGAGCAGGUUGUAGCUAUUGUCAUUAGCCUUAUUAAAGGAAGCUAGAAUUUUCCCAUUGGGUUUCCUAUUUCAAUUAGAGCUCUGGGCAAGAUUAAUUGAACUUAAAAACGAUUGCAUUUCAUUGAACCUGGUUGCUACUCUUAAUGUUUCUAUUCUAGCCUCUAACUUUGUUAUUUUUUUCUUA